GAUGAACGCUAGCUACAGGCUUAACACAUGCAAGUCGAGGGGCAGCAUGAUUGAAGCUUGCUUCAAUUGAUGGCGACCGGCGCACGGGUGAGUAACACGUAUCCAACCUUCCGUACACUCAGGGAUAGCCUUUCGAAAGAAAGAUUAAUACCUGAUGGUAUCUUAAGCACACAUGUAAUUAAGAUUAAAGAUUUAUCGGUGUACGAUGGGGAUGCGUUCCAUUAGGUAGUAGGCGGGGUAACGGCCCACCUAGCCUACGAUGGAUAGGGGUUCUGAGAGGAAGGUCCCCCACAUUGGAACUGAGACACGGUCCAAACUCCUACGGGAGGCAGCAGUGAGGAAUAUUGGUCAAUGGACGAGAGUUUGAACCAGCCAAGUAGCGUGAAGGAUGAAGGUCCUACGGAUUGUAAACUUCUUUUAUAAGGGAAUAAAACCUCCCACGUGUGGGAGCUUGUAUGUACCUUAUGAAUAAGCAUCGGCUAACUCCGUGCCAGCCGCCGCAGUAA
rnacentral:rRNA from 1 species